GGCUAAAACACAAUUUGUUCCAAAUAGUUAACCAGUUGGCUGAGCAUGCUUUAUUAUAUAAUUCAUUCUUCCCCAUGUAUGUGGGUGUCACUGGUAUCACAUUGCACCAAGCAGUGUCACAGCACGUACCCAUGAAGGGAGGGUGAAGGUGGUGGGUUGGGGUUCUCUCCAUGUGGCAGGGUGAUUUCACCCAGCUUCCCUGCCACUCUCCCUCGGUCAUCUGCUUUUCUGCAUAUAGAGUGGUGUCCCCUGGGCCACAACCACUGCCUCUUUCAGUGUGAUCAUGCUGGACUGCUCGGUGUUUCCUGUUCCCCUCUCACUUACAAACCUGCAAACUUUACACGUUCUCAGAACAUCCCAUUAAUUGCAAGAAAGUCACUAUGUUAGAGUUGGUCUUUGUUUUAUUUACUGGGAGUAACACAUUGGUUUUAUAACUCCAUCACACUUCCACACAGCUGGAGAGGUGUCAGAUGUUUUGGUGGUUACAGAGGGGGCAGGUGUGACUGCCUUUUCCCUCCUGUGGCCCAGAUGGACUUCUCUGACAGCCAGGGUAGAACUAAGAAGAAAACACAGGCCCUCAUGCCGCCUGCACAGCGCUCCCCCACAAGCCCACACUUCCUCCCAGGUUUUCAAGGGUAGGUACAUCAUUAUAAGAUAAAUGAGGCUUUCUAAAGACCGCCUGAAAACACAGGUGCCUCCACCCGCUUGGUCUACAGGAGAUUUACCAAAGCUGAUCGAAGCUGCCUUGGAUUUUUCCUCGAAGAGCUCCACUCGUCAGUGUCUACACAGUCAGAUAGGCGGAGCCAAGAUGGCAGAAUAGAGCCCUUCUUACAACAAAGACCCCAAAAAACAAGUGAAACAAGUAUAUUCAUGACAAGCUAGGAGCACUGAGCAUCAAAGACAAGCUUAAAAAAUGAACAGAGGGGCAGGGGGAGGAAGAGAUGGUUCAGAAGCGGAGAGGAGUUACCAGUCCUGAAUCAUGGGGAGCCCUCAGGCACCAUUCCAGGCACAAUUUGCGGCAGCGGGCUGGUACUAGUGUUCGGCCGCAGCUUCCUCAGGGAGAGGCAGCCAGCCACACAGCCUACUCACAUCUCCGGAAGCAGAAAGAAUGGCGCUCUUGGCAAAAGCUAAGUACUUGUGUAUAUAUUUUUUUUCUACCUACCAAGCCAGCUUUAGCAGUUGAGUUCCCCGGGCCUGAGAUAGGCCCUGCUGAGUGCCUAAAGCCAUCCUCCCAGCCUUGGAGAAUGAAUAAAAUUGCAUUUGGGGGAAAAAAUAAUUUGCCAGCUCCACUUACCAGGGGAGCUCAGGACAGAAGCAGCUCCUGUCCAGGCAUAAACGGUCUAUGGACUUUGAGUACCUUUCCCCUCUGCAUGGACCUGUGUGGGCCUAUUUCAGGAUAACACGCCCUUGUUGACAGACUCCAACCAUUUCAGCAGUGCACCGGAGAGGUGGGUGUUUGAUGUUUGACAUUGCUUUGCCUAUUAAACAGGGUCCUUACCCGCCCACAUCAGCGACCUAAGGACUGGUAGCUCCACUCAGGUCACCCAGCCACUCACGAAAGGGGUCUAAAGAUAACUGGUACCUCCCAGUCCUUACAACCAAAAACAUUGGGUGCCCAUGGUCAGUCUACAGAACCCACCCACCUGUACGCUCUAGGGAACAGGAACAUGCCUUCCUCAGAGACACAUGGAGGACAAUUCUUAGCCCCCUGCCUUGUUCAGAGUGUGACCCCCUGCUGCAACCAUAUACCGGUACCUACACCAAUCAACCCUGCCCCUUUAAUACUGUAGGACAGAGCCUGGACCACACACUUGAUGAGCGGCUACCUGGAAACCUGAGCUGAAUUCAUACAAGAAAAGUGAAUGGACUCCUAGACUGAUACACCUGAUAACAGCUCUAGCCAUCUGGGGACAGGAUGUCAGAGCUCCAAAGGUGAAAAUAAUCAAGGUAGCUCACUCAAGCAACCCAUCUGGGUAUAUCAAAGCAAAACAAAGCAAGAAGCUACAACACAGUAAGCAAACAAAAAAUAAACUAAUACAAUAACUAACAGGUGGCUCAGAGACAACAGUCAAUAUCAAGUCACAUAAAGAAACAGACCAUGAUCACCUCAACAAGCUCUCAAAGAAUCAAGGGAUCUCGUAGAUGAAAGUGCAUUCCUGGAAUUACCAGAGCCAGAAUACAAAAGAUUAAUAUACAGAACCCUUCAAGACAUCAGGAAGGAAAUGAGGCAAGACACAGAACAAGCCAAAGAACACACAGAUAAAGCAAUUGAAGAAAUUAAAAAGAUUAUUCAGGAACAUAAUGAAAAAUUUAAUAAGCUGGAAAAAUCCAUAGACAGACAGCAAUCAGAAAUUCAGAAGAUUAACAAUAAAAUUACAGAAUUAGACAACUCAAUAAAAAGUCAGAGAAGCAGAAUUGAGCAAGUGGAAGGCAGCAUUUCUGAACUUGAAUAUAAAGCACUUGGCACUAAAUAGUUGAAGAAAAGUCAGAUAAAAGAAUUUUUAAAAAUGAAGAAAUCUUAAGAAUCAUGUGGGACUUUAUCAAGAGAAAUAACCUACGAGUGAUUGGAGUACCAUAACAGGGAGGGAUAACAGAAAAUACAGAGAGAAUUGUUCAAGAUUUGUUGGCAGAAAACUUCCCUGAUAUCAUGAAAGAUGAGAAGAUAUCUAUCCAAGAUGCUCAUCAAACUCCACAUAAGGUAGAUCUUAAACGAAAGUAACCACCCAGUGCUGUCGAGUCUAAUCAAACUUGCCAAAACCAAAGAUAAAGAAUUUUAAGAGCAGCUAGGGAUAAACGAAAAGUCACCUACAAAGGAGAGCUAAUAAGAAUAAUCUUGGACUACUCGGCAGAAACCAUGCAGGCAAGAAGGCAAUGGGAUGACUUAUAUAAAAAAUUGAAGGAAAAAACUGCCAGCCAAGAACCAUAUAUCCAGCAAAACUGUCUCUCAAAUAUGAAGAUGAAAUUAGGACAUUUCCAGAUAAACAGAAAUUUAUAAAAACCAAAUCAAAACUACAAGAACUACUGAAGGGAGUUGUUUGGUUGGAAAAUCAAUAAUAUCAGGUAUCAACCCAAGACUAGAACACUGGGCAGAGCAAUCAGAAGUCAACCCAGACAGGGAAAUCCAAAAAAAUAAAUAAAGAUAAAAAAAUGCUCAAAACAGGGUAACAGCGAUGUUAUUAUGUAAAAAAAGACAACAUUAAAACAAUAAAGAGGGACUAAGAAACGUAGUCAUAGAUCUUCCAUAUGGAGAGGAAGACAAGGUGAUACAAAGAAAUAAAAGUUCAUUAUACUCAUCAAAAUAAAAUACAAGAAAAAAAAUAGAGACUCAGCAGAAACAAAAUCAACAGCGAAUAUGAGGAAAGGACAAUUUAUACAGAUAAUCUACUCAGCACAUAAAAUUAAGUGGGAAAAAGAAACUGUCAACAACACACAAAAAAAGACAUCAAAAUGAUAGCACUAAAUUCAUACCUAUUCAUAAUUACGCUGAAUGUAAAUGGACUAAAUGCACCAAUAAAGAGAUAGAGAGUGGCAGACUGGAUUAAAAAACACUAUCUGUCUAUAUGCUGCCUACAAGAGACACACCUUAGACUUAGAGACACAAACUAAAAUGUAAAGGAUGGAAAAAAAUAUAUCAAGCAAACAACAAUCAAAAAAGAGCAGGAGUGGCAAUAUUAAUUUCUGACAAAACUUUCUUUUCAAAUAAGUCAAAUAUAAAGAAAAGUAUACCCACUGUCAAAUUCGGCAAAUUUAAUAUUUUGCCAAAGUCGCUUCAGUUUUUUUUUAUUUCAAGAAAUAAAAUGUUAGUGCUAAAACCCCCAUCAACUCCCCACUUCCUUCCACCCCCAGAGUAACCUCUAUUCUGAAGUUUGUGGGUUCUGUCUGCUCAGGCUUUUAUACUUUUAUACCUGUAACACAUUUAUCACAUAAGUAUGUAUCUAAAAAUAAUGAUAUAAUAAUAAAUAACACAUAGCUUUGUUUUGCAUCUGGUUUUAUUUUUUUGAGUGAUGUCAGGUUAUAUAAACACUUUUGAAAUUUGUUAAUUUCAUUCUACAUUAUGUUUUGAGAUUUAUUUGUGUAGAUGUGUUUGGAGCUAAUGCACUCAAUGUGUUAUGUUUUAUUAAUUUAUCACCAGAUUUUCUGUUUGUGUUAGUUUAGGUGCAUAGCGUGCUUGCUACCUAAACUUGUCCCUUUCCUCUAGGUUCUCAAAUUUGUUGAAGUACAAUUUUUCAUAGUAUUCUAUUAUGAUUCUUUUUAUUUCAGUUGGGUCUGUUGUAAUGUUCCCAGUCUCAUUACUUAUGCAGGUUAUUUGUAUCCUCUCUCAUUUUUGUUUAGUCAGUUUGGUCAAUGGUUUGCCAAUUUUGUUGAUCUUUUCAAAGAACCAACUUUUGAUCUUGUUGAUUCUUUCUACUGUUUUUGUGUUUUCUAUUUCAUUUAUUUCUGCUCUAAUCUUUAUUAUUUCCUUUCUUCUGAUGCCUGUGGGCUUCUUUUGCUGUUUUCUUUCUAUUUGUUGAAGUUAUAGGGCUAACAUUUUGAUUUUGGCCCAUUCCUCUUUUUUGAUGUGUGGGUUUAUUGCUAUAAAUUGACCUCUAAGCACUGCCUUUGCUGUGUCGCAAAAGUUUUGGUACAAUGUCUUUUCAUUCUCAUUUGAUUCUAGGAAUUUUCUGAUUGCCUCUUUAAUUUCUUCUAGUAUCCAGUUGUUUUUAAGCAAGAUUUUCAGUUUCCAUGUAAUUGAUUCUUUUUUUCCCCCUUCAUCAUCCUGUUACUGAUUUCUGCUUUUCUGGUGUUGAGAUCAGACCGAAUGCUUUGUAUUAUUUCAGUGUUUUGGAUUUUAUUGAGGGUUGCUUUGUGGCCUGAAAUGUGGUCUAUUCUGGAGAAUGUUCCUUGUGCUUUGGAAAAGAAUGUAUACUUUGUUGCUGUUGGGUGGAGUGUUCUAUAUGUCUGUGAGAUCAAGUUGGUUGAUUCUGGCCUUUAGAUCUUCUGUAUCUUUGCAGAGUUUCUUUCCAGAUAGAGUUUCUUUGUGUCCCUUACCAAGAGCUGUGUGUUGAAGUCUCCUAAUAUUUUUGUGGAACUACCUAUUUCUCUUUUCAGUGUCGUUAGUUUGUUUUAUGUAUUUUGGAGCCCUGUCAUUGGGUGCAUAGAUAUUUAUUAAGUUUAUGUCUUCUUGGUGGAUUGUCCCUUUAAUCAUUACCUAAUGUCCUUUCUUGUCUUUUAUGGUUGGCUUUGCCUUAAAGUCCAUUUUCUCUCAGAUUAGUAUUCCCACUUCUGCUCUUUUUCUGUCACUGCUUUACAUAUUUUUUUCAAUCCUUUGAUUUUUAAUAUAUUUAUGUCUUUGUGUCUAAGGUGUGUCUCUUGUCUACAGCAUAUUGAUCAAUUGUGGUUUUUAAUUCAUUCCCCCACUCUGUCUCCUUACAAGAGCUUUUCAGCCAUUUACAUUCAGCGUGAUUAUCAGUGGGGUGUGAGUUUAUUGCUGUCAUAUUGUUGUGCUUUUUUUGUGUGGUGCUGACAUUUUCUAUGUUCCUUUUACUUUGUGCACUGAGUUCUUUUUAUUUGUGGGUUUUUUUUUCUCUUCUUUCAUUAUUAUAGUUUUUGUGUUUACUGAGUCUUUGUUUUUCUUCUUUUUUAUGCUGAUGAGUAGGUUUGUUAACUUUGUUUGUGGUUACCAUGAAAUUAAUCCCUAUCUUCCUAAGUUUAACCCAGUCUUUUAUUACUUGACAUCACCUUGACUUCCACUCCAUUUGAAAGUUCUAAAAAAAAAAAAAAAAAAACUACCAGUUAUUACCCUUUUAUUGUUUUGAUAUUGUCAUCAUUUACAGAUUGACACCUCUGUUUCAAGUCUUUUAGUUUGUUUUAUUACUGGUUGGUAUCUGGCUGAUGCUGUCCUGCGUUCUAGACUCCGGUUGUUGUCUGAUGUUUUUGGUUCUCUAAAUGAUGGACUCCUAUUAAUAUUUCUUAUAAGUUUGGUUUGGCUUUUACAAAUUCCCUUAAUUUCUGUCUAUCUGGAAAUGUCCUAAUUUUGCCAUAGUAUUUGAGAAAGAGUUUUGCAAGAUACAUUAUUUUUAUUUGGUAGUUUUUGUUUUUUUUCUUUCAAGGUUUUAUAUGUGUCGUCCCAUUGCCUUCUUGCUUGCAUAGUUUCUGCCGUGUAAUUAGAGCUUGGUCUUAUUGUUUCUCCUUUGUAAGUGACUUUACAUUUUUCUCAAGUUGCUCUCAGGAUUCUUUGUCUUUGGGUUUGGCAAGUGUAAUUAUGACAUGUUUUGGUGUCUUUCUUUUGGGUUCUAUCCUAUAUGGGGUUCACUGAGCUUCUUGGAUGGUCAUCUUUCAUGGUAUUUGGGAAGUUUUCUCUCAGCAAAC